UACAGAGGGUGCAAGCGUUGUUCGGAAUACUGGGCGUAAAGCGCGUGUAGGCGGUCUGGCAAGUCGGUCGUGAAAGCCCUUGGCUUAACCAAGGAACUGCGAUCGAAACUACCGGACUAGAGUAUCGGAGGGGGUGGCGGAAUUCCCGGUGUAGAGGUGAAAUUCGUAGAUAUCGGGAGGAACACCUGUGGCGAAGGCGGCCACCUGGAAGAUUACUGACGCUGAGACGCGAAAGCGUGGGGAGC
rnacentral:rRNA from 1 species